UUGGAGGGCAAGUCUGGUGCCAGCAGCCGCGGUAAUUCCAGCUCCAAUAGCGUAUAUUAAAGUUGUUGCAGUUAAAAAGCUCGUAGUUGAAUUUCGGGGUUAGUAGGUUGGUCAUGCCUCUGGUAUGUACUGGUCUCACUGAUUCCUCCUUCCCGAUGAGCCGUAAUGCCAUUAAUUUGGUGUUGCGGGGAAUUUGGACUGUUACUUUGAAAAAAUUAGAGUGUUUAAAGCAAGCUAACGCCUGAAUACAUUAGCAUGGAAUAAUGAAAUAGGACGUUCGAUCCUAUUUUGUUGGUUUCUAGGAUUGACGAAAUGGUUAAUAGGGAUAGUUGGGGGCAUUAGUAUUCAAUUGUCAGAGGUGAAAUUCUUGGAUUUAUUGAAGACUAACUACUGCGAAAGCAUUUGCCAAGGAUGUUUUCAUUAAUCAAGAACGAAAGUUAGGGGAUCGAAGACGAUCAGAUACCGUCGUAGUCUUAACCAUAAACUAUGCCGACUAGGGAUCGGAUGAUGUCAAUUUUUUAAUGACUCAUUCGGCGCCUUACGGGAAACCAAAGUGUUUGGGUUC
rnacentral:rRNA from 1 species